GUGGAACCCUAAAUCUUGGAUAAAAUCGGACUCCGAUCAUUCGUGAAACAACAGAGAUAUGCAUCCCUUGCACAACAGUCCUUCAUUUUUAAAGCUUAUUGAUGAAGAUGACCCGAUAUUUUUGGUGAAGAGCUUCUUUCAGACUCCUUCCCCUACAAGGAACUUUUGAAUGGGUUCCUAUGAGAAGUUGAAGAAAAG